GUUCAUUCUCAUAUAACCUUUAUGAGAUGAUUCAUGCCAUUGCUGAUAUUAAUAAUUAACAAUUAUCAUGUCAUCAUGUGCAAGAGCCGAGCAUUAACAUGGAUUUAACCAUCGUUUGCUUUCUUAUUGACUAUGCAAAACUUGGCUAUUUCUUUUGGUUAACCUUGAUCUGAUCAUGCUUUUUGUUGUGAGCCAGUGAUCAUUGAGCCAAAGAGAAAAAAAAAAGAAUCAACAAGCAGUUGCCACCAUCAUGUCUUCAUGCUUUGUAAGACGGCUCUCAACCACGAGCUCAUCGGGAGGAAGCGGUACCGGCAACACAAGCCAACACGAUUCUCAACAUCAUCGUAGCCCGACGAACACACAAUCCAACAACUUGCUCGACACACAUGAUCUCAACGCGAGACUUCGGGUCAGCAAUAGUUCGGUAAACAUGAUUUUAGGCACGAAUUUAAAUUAAACUUGCUUUUUAUUAGGCACGAAUUUGCAGUCGACUCGCUUAUUGCUAGACACGAGUUUACAAAAACUCGUCUUUGGCAAGGCAUGAGUUUACAGAAACUCUCCUUCUAUAAGGCACGAGCUCUCAGUAAACUCGCAUUCGUCUCAGCAUGAGUUUAGUAAACUCGUCUUUCGCUAAGCACGAGUUUAAAGCAAAUUCGCCUUUUAUUAGGCACAAGUUCAAAAUAAACUCGCCUAAAUCGUCAUAGGCAUGAAUGUGUCUAAUUAAUUGUCUAAUAAACCAUAUUCGUAAAAUUCAUAGAGAUCGACUUCAUCUCUCUCUACGAACUUGGGGGGGGGCUUACUGUUGGGGGUGGAUUUACAUCCUCCCUCAAGGCCCAUUAGACAACCAAAUUAGGCUCAUUUUACCAUCAAACCCUACAUCUCUCUUCUAUAAAUAAGGAACUAUCUCCUUAUGAGAAAGGAGGGGGUUUCUCCUCUUCUUAGAUUAAGAAACAUACUUUCAUAAGAGAUUUGUAGAUUGAAAAGGUUCACUUUACAUUUGUAUCCAUUUUUGUAAUGAACCUUUACUCAAUAAAAUCUCAUUUAUGUUCUUUUCCAUUUGAUUUCAUCUAAAGAUUUCUCCUAAACCUCAAGAAUCUAACUCUCAUUCUUAGAUUCUUUUAUUGUAUUGAUUCAACAAACAUUUCAGCAUAAACACCAUUUUUGGAUCAAACAGUUAUCUAGUAACAUGGAGAACCAAAAAAAAACUUCAAGAUUAAGAGAAUCACAUUUUCUAAAAAAACAAAAGUAGAGUAUCCUUGAAAAAAACCUCAUGAUCUGCAAUUUCAUUGUUAUUCAGCCAGGACUCUGGUACUCCUUUCUCUGCAGAAAAGAAAAACAGAUGGUCAUAUCAGUCCUAACAUGAUUUCAACAUUUUUGGAAGCUUAAACACAUAACAAAAUUUAGUGCAAGUAUUUGACAGCACACCUUCAGCAUCUUUAUCUUUUUUUGUUUAGUUUUAUACUUCUUCAUGUGCACCUUGAAAUUCAACCACACCGUUCAGAAUCUCAAAGUGUUAUAUGUGAUUCAUCAAGUAGAAAAAGAAGAAAACCAUCAAUAGAAAAAGAAGAAAACCAUCAAUAUCGGUUAUUGAUAGUUUAGGAGUCUUAUUCUAAUGAUAAGUUAGGAAAGGAUAAAAGUAUAAAACCGUUGACAUCAGUCAAAAUCAUGUGAUCACAUAAUCAGUGAUCAUUUCAGUACCUAGGUGUACAAAUGCUGAUACAACUUUGAUAUUUAGCUUCUAAAGCUGCCAUGUACUCAAAGAACUUUGCUCCAGUCUCAUCAUAUUGAAUCUGCAAUGUAAAAUGAAUAAAAAGUUUUCAGAUAACAAUUGGAAGUCCACCAAAAUCCAAGAUCACAGAUCAAAAGAGAAAGAACUUUGCUCCAAGAUCACAAAUCAAAAGAGAAGUUCCAUUUCAUCUAGGUGGAAGAUUGAUUCGCCUGAAUCUCUCUGAAUCAAAUCACUAAAGUAUCAUUCAGAAGAACUGAUCGAUCUUAGUAAAAUUAAUAGGUAAAAACAAAUCCCUAAAGUAAACCCAAAAUCUUCGCUUCGUCUAGUUAAAACUGACCUUAAGAGCAUUCAGAAGAACUGAUGGAUCCUCCCCGUUAAGAGCUACGAAGCAAGCCACUAUAAGAUCAGCACUUUCGAAGAGCAAAAUAUAUAUUAAUGAAGAGUGGAUUUAUGGUAACGGCGAAAGGCUGGAAUUUGAUUAGUGAUGACCUAAGAGGAGUCGGGGAAGAACAAACUUCAAGCUUCAGACAUGGGUGUUGGACUUAAAUUGAGUCAUUUAACAGAGCCCAAGUUAAAGACCCGUUUCUGUUAACGAAAGCAUGAAUGACGUACCAAAACGGAGCUCUAUAAUUGGAUGAUUUAUUACCACUAAGCGUCUUCUUUAGCGGGUUCCAAGCAUCCCAGAAAUGGAUGAGCCGAAACCGCAACUGAGCUUCGUGGGGACCGAGCGAGAGAUCUUUGAGGAAGAGGACUUUUUUGUCGUAAUCGAAGGAGACAGUAGACUUCCCAUGCGGUUUCAUCGCCAUCACUACAAGAAAACACAUGGUUAACUACGAAAAUUAACGAGGAAAAAAAAUCCUCGUAAAUUUGCGUCGAGUUUACGACGAAUUUACGUGAAAAACUAAAGUCAUCGUUAUUUUCUCGUAACGUAACGACAAAACUGUUUCGUCGUAAAGUGGAUGUAAUUUUACGAGUAUUUUACGAGGAAAAACUAUUUCCUCGUAAAUACGACGUAAACUUUGCGUGGUAUUUACGAGGUAAUAGUUUACGUGUAUUUAGCGAGGAAAUUUUUGAAUCCACCAACUUUAUAGGUGUUACACGUUUUUUUUGCCCACCUAAUUAAUUUUCGUCGUAAAUUCAUAGCAAAAUUACAACUACCAGAUUCGAAUUUUCCUAUAAAUAUGGAUGUUUGAACAUCAUUUUAAACACACCAACAACAAAAAACGUGAAAGAAAAAAAAUGGCUGGCUCCGGGACUAUUUACGAGUUGCGGAAGUGGAUGUAUAUGCAUAGAGAUGCUAACGGGAGAGUGACGAAAGAAUACCUUGCGGGUCUGGAGACAUUUAUGCAUCAAGCAGAUUCAACACCGCUCGCCCAAGAAAGUGGUAAGAUGUUCUGUCCUUGUCGGAAAUGCAACAAUUCGAAACUGGCAAACCGUGAAAAUGUUUGGAAGCAUUUAAUAAAUAGAGGUUUCACGGCAAAUUACUAUAUCUGGUUUCAACAUGGAGAAGGUUUUAAUUAUGAUCAGAAUGAAGCUAGUAGUAGUAAUAGCAACUUUCAAGAAGAACCGGUUGAUCAUCAACAUUUGCAUAAUGAACAUAGUUACCAUCAGGAGGAGAUGGUAGAUUAUGAUAGGGUUCAUGAUAUGGUAGCUGAUGCAUUCGUAGCUCAUGAUGAAGAUGAAGAACCUAAUAUAGAUGCAAAAAAGUUUUACGAAAUGUUAAACGCGGCGAAUCAACCACUUUACAGUGGUUGUAGAGAAGGUCUCUCUAAAUUGUCGUUAGCUGCUAGAAUGAUGAAUAUUAAAACUGAUCACAAUCUACCUGAAAGUUGCAUGAACGAAUGGGCGGACUUGUUUAAAGAGUAUUUGCCGGAAGACAAUGUGUCUGCUGAUUCUUAUUAUGAGAUUCAGAAACUGGUUUAUAGUCUUGGGUUGCCUUCGGAGAUGAUAGAUGUUUGCAUCGACAACUGCAUGAUCUAUUGGGGAGAUGAUGAGAAGCUAGAAGAAUGUCGAUUCUGCAAGAAGCCACGAUUCAAGCCGCAAGGACGGGGACGUAAUAGGGUACCGUACCAAAGGAUGUGGUACCUACCAAUUACAGACAGAUUGAAAAGAUUGUAUCAAUCAGAGCAGACUGCUGGAAAGAUGAGAUGGCAUGCCGAGCAUACUCAGACGGAUGGUGAGAUGACUCAUCCAUCAGAUGCAAGAGCCUGGAAACAUUUCAACAAAGUACAUCCAGAUUUCGCUAGCAAUAUCCGGAAUGUGUAUCUCGGAUUAUGCACAGAUGGAUUUAGUCCGUUCGGAAUGUCAGGGAGACAAUAUUCAUUGUGGCCAGUCUUUCUUACUCCAUACAACCUGCCACCGGAGAUGUGCAUGCAACGGGAGUUACUAUUCUUGACCAUAUUAAUACCUGGUCCGAACCAUCCAAAAAGGUCCCUGGAUGUUUUCCUACAACCACUGAUAAAAGAGUUGAAGGAUUUGUGGUCAACAGGGGUGAGGACGUAUGACUGUUCAACGAAGACGAAUUUUACGAUGCGAGCGAUGCUUUUGUGGACCAUAAGUGAUUUUCCUGCCUAUGGGAUGUUGUCUGGAUGGACUACACAUGGGAGAUUAGCUUGUCCAUAUUGUAAUGGAACGACAGAUGCGUUUCAACUGAAGAAUGGUAGGAAGACAAGUUGGUUUGAUUGUCACCGUCGAUUUCUUCCCAUUGGCCAUCCUUACCGAAGAAACAAGAAUUUGUUUAGGCACAAAAGGGUUGUGAGAGACACUCCUCCUCCAUAUCUAACUGGAGAACAAAUUGAAGCGCAAAUCGACUACUACGGAGCUAACGAAACAGUUCGUUGGGGUGGUAAUUGGCAUGUCCCUCGUAAUAUGCCAGAUUCUUACGGUGUUCAUCACAACUGGCACAAGAAGAGUAUAUUUUGGGAGUUGCCAUAUUGGAAGGAUCUUCUUCUGCGCCACAACCUCGAUGUGAUGCAUAUAGAGAAGAAUUUCUUUGAGAACAUCAUGAAUACAAUAUUGAAUGUCCCAGGGAAGACAAAAGACAACAUAAAAUCGAGGUUGGACUUGCCGGAUAUUUGCUCAAGAAGCGAGUUACAUAUUAAAAGCAAUGGACAAGUUCCCGUUCCGAUAUUCAGAUUAUCUUCAGAAAAAAAGUCGGUGUUGUUCAACUGGGUGGCAUCAGAAGUGAAGUUCCCCGAUGGGUAUGUUUCGAAUCUCUCUAGAUGUGUUGAAAAGGGUCAAAAGUUCUCCGGGAUGAAGAGUCAUGAUUGUCAUGUAUUUAUGCAACGACUACUGCCCUUUGCAUUUGCGGAGCUACUUCCAACAAACGUACAUGAAGCACUUGCAGGUACGUAGUGUAUUAUAUCACAAUAAUUUACAAAAUAAUAUAUGACUAACAAUGUGUUUAAUUUUUUUUUGAAUAUAAAAGGCAUUGGAGCAUUUUUCAGGGAUCUGAGCACACGCACUCUUAAAGAAGAAGUUGUGGAACAGCUUCAGGAGAACAUUCCCAUCUUAUUGUGCAACUUGGAGAAGAUAUUUCCUCCCGGAUUUUUUGACGUCAUGGAGCAUCUAGCUGUCCACCUCCCAUAUGAGGCAUUGCUUCGUGGACCUGUACAUUACGGAUGGAUGUAUCAGUAUGAGCGAGCCAUGAAAUAUUUGAAGGGAAAAGCAAAGAACCUCGCCAAAGUUGAAGGUUCUAUAAUUGCUGGAAGUUUGACGGAAGAAGUUUCUCACUUCACAUCGUACUACUUUGCGUCAAAAGUACGUACACGGAGAAGAGCUCCAAGAAGAUAUGAUGAUGGUGGUGUUGCGCCAACAUAUGCAGUUGCUGGUGUUCCAGACAUCUUUAGCCAGAUUGGGCGACUCGGUGGGAAGUCUAAAGAGGUUUGGUGGUCGAGUGAACAAGACGCUCAUAGUGCACACACCUAUAUUCUACUCAAUUGCGAAGAUCCAUUGAUGCGUUAUUUUGAAAGGUAACAUAUAUUGACACUUCGAAACACAUAUAAGUAUAAUUAAUUGUAUAAUUGCGAGAGAUUCAUUCCUAUAAAAUGUGAUUUUACAGCCUAUUUGUUUCUCAAGUCGAAGAAACAUUUCCUGGUAUAUCCACAAGUGACGUAGACAAAAGGAAAGAUCAACACUUCAUUAAGUGGUUGCGGAAUCAGGUAUUAACUAAAACUUUUUUUUCAUACAUUAUCUGUAUUUCAUUAACAUUCUCUUUAUUUUUGCAGGUUGAUUAUGACGACGACGAUGCAGAUUAUCCUAAGUGGUUACACGAAGUAAUUCAAUCUCCACUUGUAAAGGUCACCACAUCACAGAUGUAUUUCACACGAGGCUAUACUUUUCAUACAUAUGACUAUGGUAGACAGCGGGCGACCAGUAACUAUGGAAUAUGUGUGAAAGGGGAAACAGAUUUCUACGGGAUCUUGACGGAGAUUAUUGAAGUCGAAUUUCCAGGGAUACUGAAGCUGAAAUGCGUCCUCUUCAAAUGUGAAUGGUUCGACCCCGUCGUCAACAGAGGUGUUCGGUCUAACAAAUUCGGUGUAGUUGAUGUCAACGGUGGACGAAGGUACAACAAAUUCGAGCCUUUCAUCUUAGCUUCACAAGCAGACCAAGUUAGCUUCCUUCCAUACCCUCGGAUGAGAGAUUCAGGUAUAAAUUGGUUAGCAGUGAUCAAAGUUACACCUCGAGGACGAAUCAUCAGUGGAGAAGAACCACCAUUGCAAGAAGAACAGAUAAAUGAAGUCGAGGAACCUGAACAAGAAAUUGAUGACAUCCUUCUCAUUGAUCCGCAUAAUCACGAGUACGAAGAUCUUACCGAUGAUGCCACAGACGAAGCUGUUGAAGACGAGUUUAAUGAAAAUGAUGAUGUUUCUAGUGAUGACGAGAAUGUCGAUGUAUCCGAUUGAUGUAUUUGUUUUAUGAAUAAGAUGAGGGAGUUUGUUUUAUGAAUAAGAUAAUGUGGGGUUUGUUUUAUGAAUAAGGUAAUGCGGGGAGUUUGUUUUAUGAAUAAGCAAAUGUGGGAAUUGUGGUUUGGAAUGGAAAUAAAGAUGGGGUUUGGAAUAUAUGAAGUAGAAAAUAAGGAAUAUGGGGUUUGGGGUUUCGGGUUUCGGGUUUUGGAUUCUAGGGAUUUAAACAUAACACUCGUUAAUUCCACGUAAGCUUAAAUCGUCGUAAAGUCCUCGUAUUCCAACGAGUAAAUAACGACGAAGGACUCGUUAAUUCCACGUAGGACUAAAUCGUCGUAAAUACCACGUAGGAUGAAUUCGUCGUAAAAACCACGUAGGAUGAAAUCGUCGUAAAUAUAACGUAAUACAACGAGGAAAUAACGACGAAACCUAAAAAUAAAUAUGGGGUUUGGAAUAUAUGAAGUAGAAAAUAAGGAAUAUGGGGUUUGGGGUUUGGGGUUUCGGGUUUCGGGUUUCGGGUUUGGGGUUUGGGGUUUCGGGUUUUGGGGUUCCGGGUUUUGGAUUUCGGGUUUCGGGUUUCGGGUUUUUGGUUUCGGGUUUGGGGUUUCGGGUUUAGGUGUUCGGGGUUUGGGGUUUCGGGUUUUGGAUUUCGGGUUUCGGGUUUCGGGUUUCGGGUUUCGGGUUCUAGGGAUUUAACCAUAACACUCGUUAAAAAUAACGACGAAACUUAAAAUUAAAUAUGGGGUUUGGAAUAUAUGAAGUAGAAAAUUAAAGAUGGGGGUUUGGGUUUCGGGUUUCGGGUUUGGGGGUUGGGGUUUGGGGUUUCGGGUAUGGGGUUUCGGGUUUCGGGUUUGGGUUUCGGGUUUCGGGUUUCGGGUUUCGGAUUCUAGGGAUUUAAACAUAACACUCGUUAAUUCCACGUAAGCACAAAUCGUCGUAAAGUCCUCGUAGGAUGAAAUCGUCGUAACUACCACGUAAAAUGAUUUAAACAAAACACUCGUUAAUUCCACGUAAGCAGAAAUCGUCGUAAAGACCACGUAAACGGAUUUAUACAUAAACCCGUUAAUUCCACGUAAGUACAAAUCGUCGUAAAUAUCUCGUAGUGUACAAACUUGAAAAAAAAAGGAAAAGGAGAGAAAUACCAGAUUAACAUGUGGCAAGACUUCCAGCAAUUAUAAUACGUAAGUCUCGCCCACAUGAAUUCUAAUAUCUUCUCCUUUUCCUAUUUUUUUCAAAUAUUUAUAAUUUGAAUAGGAUUUUUUUGAGGAUUGUGAUUUGAGAUAAGGUGUGAUUUGGGAGUUUGUGUGUGGUUUGAGAGUGAGAGUUGUGGGUAUAUUUAUAGGAAAGCAAGCCUCGUUAAUUCCUCGUAAGGUAAAUCGUCGUUAAUACCUCGUAUAAAAAAACACGGGCCUUUGUGAUUCCUCGCAAUUUCCUCGUAAAAAAAAAGACGGGCCUUUGUAACUGCUCGCUAUUUCGUCGUAAACUUACGAGGAAUUUGCGACGAUAUGUAAUCUUAUAUAUACACCCGAGCGCUCACUCUUUCUUUCCUCUCUACUUCCUCUCUACUUCCUCUCCAUUUCGUAGCAAUGGUAAGCCUCUCUGAUUCCUCUCUAAUUUGGUUAGUUUAGGAUAGAUUAGGUGGUUAGUAUAGGGAAUUUAGAUAGGUUUGCGGAUUUUAUGUUGUUUAGUGUUGAUUAUGUGGAUAAUGUUGGGAAAUAUAUUGUUGAUGUUAAUUUUAAAAAUUUCAUUUUUUUUCCAGGUUCGAAAAGGAAGACUUACUGCCCAUUACAGAGAGAUCUUCGGUGAGCCGGGUAGUCGUUUAGACCCGGCCUCUUCUUCCGCUCCCAGUUCUUCGGGCCAGGAGACUGUCCCCGAGACUCAGUACACUCAGAGAGUCUCUGGGUCUACUUCUUCUACUGC
rnacentral:lncRNA from 1 species